rnacentral:rRNA from 1 species
CCUACGGGAGGCAGCAGUGGGGAAUUUUGGACAAUGGGGGAACCCUGAUCCAGCAAUGCCGCGUGUGUGACGAAGGCCUUCGGGUUGUAAAGCACUUUUGGCGGGAACGAAACGGCGCUUUCUAAUACAGAGUGCUAAUGACGGUACCCGCAGAAUAAGCACCGGCUAACUACGUGCCAGCAGCCGCGGUAAUACGUAGGGUGCGAGCGUUAAUCGGAAUUACUGGGCGUAAAGCGUGCGCAGGCGGUUUCGUAAGACAGAUGUGAAAGCCCCGGGCUCAACCUGGGAAGUGCAUUUGUGACUGCGAGACUAGAGUGUGUCAGAGGGAGGUAGAAUUCCACGUGUAGCAGUGAAAUGCGUAGAGAUGUGGAGGAAUACCGAUGGCGAAGGCAGCCUCCUGGGAUAACACUGACGCUCAUGCACGAAAGCGUGGGGAGCAAACAGGAUUAGAUACCCUGGUAGUCCACGCCGUAAACUAUGGGCACUAGGUGUAGGAAGUGUUGACCCUUUCUGUGCCGAAGCUAACGCAUUAAGUGCCCCGCCUGGGGAGUACGGUCGCAAGGCUAAAACUCAAAGGAAUUGACGG